GGAUUUCUUCGGAAUGAAUUUGAUUAAGUUUAGUGGCGGACGGGUGAGUAACGCGUGAGUAACCUGCCUCUAAGAGGGGAAUAACAUUCUGAAAAGAAUGCUAAUACCGCAUAACAUAUAUUUAUCGCAUGGUAGAUAUAUCAAAGAUUUAUCGCUUAGAGAUGGACUCGCGUCCGAUUAGUUAGUUGGUGAGGUAACAGCUCACCAAGACCGCGAUCGGUAGCCGGACUGAGAGGUUGAACGGCCACAUUGGGACUGAGACACGGCCCAGACUCCUACGGGAGGCAGCAGUGGGGGAUAUUGCGCAAUGGGGGAAACCCUGACGCAGCAACGCCGCGUGAAGGAUGAAGGUCUUCGGAUUGUAAACUUCUUUUAUUAAGGACGAAUAAAGUGACGGUACUUAAUGAAUAAGCUCCGGCUAACUACGUGCCAGCAGCCGCGGUAAUACGUAGGGAGCAAGCGUUGUCCGGAUUUACUGGGUGUAAAGGGUGCGUAGGCGGCUUUGCAAGUCAGAUGUGAAAUCUAUGGGCUCGACCCAUAGCCUGCAUUUGAAACUGCAGAGCUUGAGUGAAGUAGAGGCAGGCGGAAUUCCCCGUGUAGCGGUGAAAUGCGUAGAGAUGGGGAGGAACACCAGUGGCGAAGGCGGCC
rnacentral:rRNA from 1 species